CCGUCGACGAUACACAGUCGGUGGCCAAGCGAAAGCGAUAAGUCAUCCACCUGGGGAGUACGUUCGCAAGAAUGAAACUCAAAGGAAUUGACGGGGGCCCGCACAAGCGGAGGAACAUGUGGUUUAAUUCGAUGAUACGCGAGGAACCUUACCCGGGCUCGAACGGUGCAGGAAGGAUCAAGAGAUUGUGACGCCCUUCGGGGCCUGCAUCGAGGUGCUGCAUGGUUGUCGUCAGCUCGUGUCGUGAGAUGUUGGCUUAAGUGCCAUAACGAGCGCAACCCUUGUCGCCAGUUACCAGCAUGCAAGAUGGGGACUCUGGCGAGACUGCCACCGCAAGGUGUGAGGAAGGCGGGGAUGACGUCAAAUCAGCACGGCCCUUACGUCCGGGGCGACACACGUGUUACAAUGGCGACUACAGAGGGAUGCCACCUGGCGACAGGGAGCGGAUCUCGAAAAGUCGUCUCAGUUCGGAUUGGAGUCUGCAACUCGACUCCAUGAAGCUGGAUUCGCUAGUAAUCGCGCAUCAGCCAUGGCGCGGUGAAUACGUUCCCGGGCCUUGUACACACCGCCCGUCAAGCCAUGAAAGCCGGGGGUGCCUGAAGUCCGUGACCGAAAGGAGCGGCCUAGGGCAAAACUGGUAAUUGGGGCUAAG
rnacentral:rRNA from 1 species